UAUAGCACUAUUAUUUAUUGAUCACUACAUUAAUAUCACCAUCCAGUAGGUUCUAUAUCACUAAUAUCACCAUCGAGUAGGUUCUACAUCACUAAUAUCACCAUCCAGUAGGUUCUACAUCACUAAUAUCAUCAUCCAGCAGGUUCUACAUCACUAAUAUCACCAUCCAGUAGGUUCUACAUCCCUAAUAUCACCAUCCAGUAGGUUCUACAUCACUACACUGACAUCACCAUCCAGUAGGUUCUACAUCACUAAUAUCACCAUCCAGUAGGUUCUACAUCAUUAAUAUCCCCAUCCAGUAGGUUCUACAUCACUAAUAUCACCAUCCAGUAGGUUCUACAUCACUAAUAUCACCAUCCAGUAGGUUCUACAUCACUACACUAAUAUCACCAUCCAGCAGGUUCUUCAUCACUAAUAUCACCAUCCAGCAGGUUCUACAUCACUAAUAUCACCAUCCAGCAGGUUCUACAUCACUAAUAUCACCAUCCAGUAGGUUCUACAUCACUAAUAUCACCAUCCAGCAGGUUCUACAUCACUAAUAUCACCAUCCAGUAGGUUCUACAUCACUAAUAUCACCAUCCAGUAGGUUCUACAUCACUAAUAUCACCA
rnacentral:lncRNA from 1 species